CCUGGAAACGGGUGCUAAUGCCAGAUAGAGCAACGGACAGGCAUCUGUUUGUUGGGAAAGGUGCUACGGCAUCGCUAAGAGAGGAGCCCGCGGCGCAUUAGCUAGUUGGUGGGGUAACGGCCUACCAAGGCGACGAUGCGUAGCCGACCUGAGAGGGUGACCGGCCACACUGGGACUGAGACACGGCCCAGACUCCUACGGGAGGCAGCAGUAGGGAAUCUUCGGCAAUGGGCGCAAGCCUGACCGAGCAACGCCGCGUGAGCGAAGAAGGCCUUCGGGUUGUAAAGCUCAGUCAUCCGGGAAGAGAGACCAGGGGAGGGAAUGCCCCUGGAGAGACGGUACCGGGAGAGGAAGCCCCGGCUAACUACGUGCCAGCAGCCGCGGUAAUACGUAGGGGGCAAGCGUUGUCCGGAAUCACUGGGCGUAAAGCGUGCGUAGGCGGUUUGUUAAGUCUGAAGUGAAAGGCCAUGGCUCAACCAUGGGAAUGCUUUGGAAACUGGCAGACUUGAGUACUGGAGAGGCAAGGGGAAUUCCACGUGUAGCGGUGAAAUGCGUAGAGAUGUGGAGGAAUACCAGUGGCGAAGGCGCCUUGCUGGACAGUGACUGACGCUGAGGCACGAAAGCGUGGGGAGCAAACAGGAUUAGAUACCCUGGUAGUCCACGCCGUAAACGAUGAGUGCUAGGUGUUGGAGGUUCAGACCUUCAGUGCCGAAGGAAACCCAAUAAGCACUCCGCCUGGGGAGUACGGUCGCAAGACUGAAACUCAAAGGAAUUGACGGGGGCCCGCACAAGCAGUGGAGCAUGUGGUUUAAUUCGAAGCAACGCGAAGAACCUUACCAGGGCUUGACAUCCCUCUGACCGGUGUAGAGAUACACCUUCCCUUCGGGGCAGAGGAGACAGGUGGUGCAUGGUUGUCGUCAGCUCGUGUCGUGAGAUGUUGGGUUAAGUCCCGCAACGAGCGCAACCCUUGACCUGUGUUACCAGCACGUAAUGGUGGGGACUCACAGGUGACUGCCGGCGUAAGUCGGAGGAAGGUGGGGAUGACGUCAAAUCAUCAUGCCCCUUAUGUCCUGGGCAACACACGUGCUACAAUGGGCGGAACAACGGGAAGCGAGACCGCGAGGUGGAGCGAACCCCUGAAAACCGUUCGUAGUUCGGAUUGC
rnacentral:rRNA from 1 species